rnacentral:rRNA from 1 species
UACGUAGGGUGCAAGCGUUAAUCGGAAUUACUGGGCGUAAAGCGUACGCAGGCGGCUAUGUAAGACAGGUGUGAAAUCCCCGGGCCUAACCUGGGAACUGCAUUUGUGACUGCAUAGCUAGAGUCCGCCAGAGGGGGGUGGAAUUCCACGUGUAGCAGUGAAAUGCGUAGAGAUGUGGAGGAACACCGAUGGCGAAGGCAGCCCCCUGGGAUGAGACUGACGCUCAUGUACGAAAGCGUGGGGAGCAAACAGG